UUAUGAGCACUUGUAAAUCAAUUACAUAGCCUAAUAGGCUGCAUCGUUUUAACAAACCACAGCCUCGCCUAUAUCAAAACCGUUUCAUUCGGAUUAAUAGGCGGGCACUCGUCAGGAUUCGUGGAUUACAAAUGGCUUCUACAGGAAUAAUAAAAUAGAAAACAUCGACAUGCGAAUAAAUGUUUAAAGGAGGGGUAGGUUGAGAACGGCCGAAUGAUAAUGUUGUCAUGAGGUUUCAUGAGGCAAUGCGCAUUGCUCUCCGAUUAGCUGGUGUCUGCUCAGACUCACCUCAGUGUUAGGGUGGGACGGGGCCCGGCUCGACCCUCUGGAGUUGGGGUCCGGUACCGAUCCGGAUAAGGAUCUUUCCUUUGGCGGCUCAACGGAGGGUCGAGAUGCACGUCCCGGAUCGGUGGCUGCAUGGUUCACGGCACUGCCGACGGGUAUCCCCUGGUUCUCACCGUUUGCCACUGAGUGUUUUCCCUCCUCCGGUCUGCUCCUGUGAAACCAGAGCACAGAGAGAGGGAAGCAGAGCGCUGAGAAACGACGCGCUGGUCCCAAAGCAGCCCGGGAGCAGCUCAACCUCAGCAGGCCCAGGACUGCUCCAAGGCCCUGGACCCCAGAACCUGAACUUCCAGACUCUCUAGACAUGCGUGUGAUAAUGAAUUCAGGUCCCGGGACGGGAGUUGGAUCAGAGUGAGGCUUUUGUCUUAUUGUUUUGGUCUCAUCAAAAAUGUAGACUAUAAUAUGAAGCCUAAUCAUACAAUAUAGAGCCAAUACCUUUGAACCGUAGCCUACAGUAGAAUUUUAGUUCAAGAUGACAUUUAUGAUAAGUUUGUCUAAGUUUGUUAAUGAUAAACACAAUCUUGAUUAUUGACUUAUUAGUCGAAUAAAUAUAAAGCAUUUACAAAAGGCUUUAUUGUUGAAAUGUUAUAGUGUUCAUGAUAUUGGAGUUACUUUGGUGUAUGGGAAUAUUUUGUGACAUUUAGGCCUAACAACUAGGAUAUUAGGAUUUAUUAGAUUUUGAAGUCCUGUGGCGUACUGGUUCACUGAGUUAUGAAUGAAGGCCAUAACAUAACAUAACAUAACAUAACAUAACAUAACGUUACGUAACAUAACAUAACAUUACAUAAAACAACAUAAUUGUUUUUUUAUAUGUAAAAAUAGGAAAAUGAAAAUCAGACUAAGCUGGUCUAGAAAGGUACAGCGUAGUGUGAGAAGGAAUGUCUCUAAAAGUUAACAAUAAUAUACGCAUUUAUACGGACAUGAGUAUAGCGAUCGUAGAAAAAUGCAAUGUCAUCGAUUGGUUGAUCAUUAAAGGUUUGUAUCCCAUGUAAUUAACGCACGGAAACAAGCACUAAUCUGCAAAACUUCAAAUAAUUAUAAUUAUAUUCAUAACAAUCACUAUGAUUUUUAUUGUUGUUCUUGUUAUUAUUAUAAUUAUUAUAAUUAUCUAAAUUAUUAUAAAGGCCUACCUGUGGAUUUCCCAUUGCAUAACUCCCCUAUAAAUCAUCUGCUUAUUUUAUAUGCUAUAAUCAAUAAAUUAUUAUUUUUUAGUCUAAAUGCUUUGUCAGUGCUUAUUGUGAUUCCUAAUUUGUCUUAUCAUUAUAUCCAAAUGAGCUGAAUCCCUGUCCUGCUCUCUGAGAGAACAGAGGCCUACUGAAGCCGGCUGCAGCAGUGAGCUGCUGCUCAUUAGUGAGGCUGGACGACAGUGGAGCACAAAGGCUGUGCUGCUGCUUUUCCACUAGACCGGGCGCACUAAUAAAGGCCCUUAAGCUACAUCUGUUGAGGAAGGCCUUGUUGUAGCAGUGCUGUCCCCGUGUCAGGUGAAAAUAUGAUGCGCUUCCGUUGUCUGACAUGAGGCCCAACGCUCAUGGCUGCCUCAUGAAUAGAGAGCUCUGGCUCCUUGCGGGAGCCCGCUGACACCUUCUAAUCCAUCGGUGACACCGCCCCCCCACAGGGGGCCGGCAGAAGGUCGGGGCUCCGGAGCCACCGGGGCGUGGCACCCAGCCGGCUCGCUAGGGCUCUCCCUGAACACGGGGCAGAGAUGACGGGCAGAGAAGGCGAGCGCAAGGAAGAGUGUUGGAAUCAAGCAUGAAAGAAUGUGAGCAUGACUGCCUAUAGCUCAUCUGGCCUGGGAUGGCCUCGCUCAGGAGCCUGCGUUACCAUGGUGAUAAUACUAGGCCUCACUAGGCGUGAGGCCUAGUGAGGGAAGGUGUCCCUGAGAGGCAGGGAAACACAGGGAUCCUCUAUCCCUCGUUCUAGCGCCCCCGCCUGUUGGCUCACCUGCCCAGUGCACCCUGGCUCACACCUCCACAUGCACAACACCUGGUCUGCCUCUGGGACUCAGGGCCCACUCCGCCGUGAGGCUGGGUCACCUUUAUAGUGGUGACUGGGUGUUGACGAGCCGCAGAGCCCAUCAGAACCACCACUGCUCACACCUAUUCUCCUUAAUGCAAUUAAACAAGGGCCUGAGGCGGCAGGGAGAGGAAGAGAGAGAGUGUGUGUGGGUCUCUGUGUGUGUGUGUGUGUGUGUGUGUGUGUGUGUGUGUGUGUGUGUGUGUGUGUGUGUGUGUGUGUGUGUGUGUGUGUGUGUGUGUGUGUGUGUGUGUGUGUGUGUGUGUGUGUGUGUGUGAGUGUGUGCAUUCACCGUGUGUGCGUUUUAUGCCAAACGUUAUCUCUAUGACUUCAAUUGGUCCCCAUUGGACCGGCCAAGUCACUGCCACUGAGCUAAUAAGUGCUUGUAAGAAGCAGAAGUAAAAUAAUUCAGGUUAAAGAAAGAACCAUUUGAGUCCUGGAUUUAAUGAGAAGAGUGUGUGGGUAUCUGUGUGUGCAUGCGUGUGUGUGUGUGUGUGUGUGUGUGUGUGUGUGUGUGUGUGUGUGUGUGUGUGUGUGUGUGUGUGUGUGUGUGUGUGUGUGUGUGUGUGUGUGUGUGUGUGUGUGUGUGUGUGUGUGUGUGUGUGUGUGUGUGUGUGUGUGUGUGUGUGUGAGUGUGUGCAUGUGUGUAGGGGGGGACAGAAAGACUAGCAGAGAACUGCAAGAAUAAAAUAGCGAGGAUAAGGUGGAGGAGGUGAUGGAGGAGGAGUAGGAAGAGGAGGAGGAGGAGGAGGCACUGGGUGUACAUGUGACAGGGGGAAAUAUGAGGGACUUUGACAGGUCUUAAACGGUCUGGCGCCAAGGCCUUAGACUAGCUGCUAAAUAUAGCUGGAGAGAUGAGGCAGAGAGAUGGGGAGAGAAGAUGAGGAGAUGAAGAGAAGAAGAGAAACAAUGUCGGGACAGAAAAAAAUAUGCUCAAUACUCAAUUAUAAGCAAAUUGUUUUAAGUAGUUUGGUGCUGAAAGGGAUUCCCCUAUGAUCUUCCAGCACCACGGAUUAAUGACACAACAUAAAGAAAUUAGGCCUACGUCUUUACCUACAUGAGAAUAUAUUUCAUUGAUAAUGCCCCAUCCUUAACACUGACCACUCAAAGCAUUGGUAACACCGUUGUUAUCAAGGCCCUUGCUUUAUAGUUUGUUGAUUUUUCGCCUAUUCUCCCAUUUGGCAAAUAUUAGUCCAGGACUCAAAUCUUUCUUUAACCUGAAUUCUUU
ensembl:lncRNA